rnacentral:rRNA from 1 species
AUUGAACGCUGGCGGCAUGCCUUACACAUGCAAGUCGAACGGCAGCGCGGACUUCGGUCUGGCGGCGAGUGGCGAACGGGUGAGUAAUACAUCGGAACGUACCCUGUUGUGGGGGAUAACUAGUCGAAAGAUUAGCUAAUACCGCAUACGACCUGAGGGUGAAAGUGGGGGACCGCAAGGCCUCACGCAGCAGGAGCGGCCGAUGUCUGAUUAGCUAGUUGGUGGGGUAAAGGCCCACCAAGGCGACGAUCAGUAGCUAGUCUGAGAGGACGAUCAGCCACCCGGGGGCUGAGACCGGGCCCGGCCCCCUAGGGGGGGCCGCAGUGGGAAAUUUUGGACAAGGGGGGCAACCCUGACCCAGAAAGGCGGGGGGGUGGAAGAAGGCCUUCGGGUUUUAAAGCACUUUUGCCCGGAAAGAAAUCGGGCUGGUUAAAACCUGGGGGGGUGGCCGGUACCGGAAAAAAAAGCCCCGGCAACCUCCGU